rnacentral:rRNA from 1 species
GGGCCCGCACAAGCAGUGGAGUAUGUGGUUUAAUUCGAAGCAACGCGAAGAACCUUACCAGGUCUUGACAUCUACCUGAUUCUUCAGAAAUGAGGGAGUGCCCUUCGGGGAAAGGUAAGACAGGUGGUGCAUGGUUGUCGUCAGCUCGUGUCGUGAGAUGUUGGGUUAAGUCCCGCAACGAGCGCAACCCUUAUGAUUAGUUGCUACGCAAGAGCACUCUAAUCAGACUGCCGUUGACAAAACGGAGGAAGGUGGGGACGACGUCAAAUCAUCAUGCCCCUUAUGAUCUGGGCUACACACGUACUACAAUGGCCAUCAACAGAGGGAAGCGAAACCGCGAGGCGGAGCGAACCCCCAAAAAUGGUCCCAGUUCGGAUUGCAGGCUGCAACCCGCCUGCAUGAAGCUGGAAUUGCUAGUAAUCGCGGAUCAUCAUGCCGCGGUGAAUACGUUCCCGGGCCUU